UUGAAAGAGUCAUUUAUUUUGACGUUCGGCGACACAUUUUCCAAAUCGAGGAAGAGGGAAUAUUAACGUUGGUUGUGAGAUACAGGAGAAUAAGAAGAACAUACAGAAGAAGAAGAGAGAAGAAUUCCACAGCUCCACAAGCUCUUUUCGCAAUUAGCGAAAGCAUCAUAUUUGAAAUGUAUCAAGGGAGAUGUCAUCGAGCCCCUACCAACUGCAUCAAGCACCAGAUAUGCUGUUCCAAAAGGACCCAAUGACAUUUCAAGAUCCAGAGAAGAGGGUCCUGUACUGCCGUGUUUGAAAACAUUUCCCAGAACUCAGCAUGGUACUAGGAAAAAGGCUUUCAACAGCUCCUGCUAUAAGGACAAUUCAUGGCUUGAAUAUUCUGUAAGUCAAGAUUCAACUUAUUGUUUCGCCUGUAGGCAUUUUUCUCUGCCCAAUGCACCUGAAUCUGCCUUCACAUCACAGUCAGGUUGUUGUAACUGGAAAAAGGCGCU